rnacentral:sRNA from 1 species
GGCAGAGGCAGAGGAGGGAGCGAGGAGGUGAGACCCGCUCCACCCUGCUCGCCUAGGCUCGGCGGAGGCUAAGAGCAGGGCAGCCUCCUCUGUCCGGCGCCCGCUGAGCCCCGGCAUCUGGAACUCAGGGCCCUGGCGCUCCAGGGACGGGAACUGGCCGGGAAGACCGCGCGGGAGAGCACGGAUGGGCACCCUGGGCUCGAUCUUCUCACCUGGGGCGGGUGGGUGCUGCACUACCCUCUCACCCUCCUUCCUCCGUGUGGACGACAGAGCCACAUCCAGCACCACGGACAGCUCCCGGGCGACCAAAAAGAAGAAUGUACUUCAUCCGGUUGGGCUGGAUUCCCUCUGAUAAGCCUUCCCAGUUGACUGAAAGAUGAGGCUAGGCUCUAGCAAGUUAAAGUCGAACCAGCUCCUUCAAGAAGCUUUGAGCAGAAUGAAGUGGGGAGGACCCAGCUUCUGGCCCAGGAAGUCCACUGUACCUGGAGCCAUCUGGGAUAAGACUUUGACCCAUGACUCCCAUAUCCACAACCUGUCCAUCC